AGAAGAGGUUUCAACUCUGCUCAGCUGGAGCACUGCCCUUCUCCCUGAGACUCUCAUUUCCCGCUUCACAUUUCAGUGAGUCAAACAAAAAGGAAAGAGAGUAGCUCUUGGAAGACUGGAGAGCAGAUGGCAAAGAGGCCCAGAAACUCCCUCAAGGCCAAUCAGCAAGGGAUAACAUUUCUGCCUGGAAAACUGAUGGAAGAACCCAGCUCCUCCAGGAAGUCUUCCUUGUUAAGGUGCCAUCUCGGGGAGAGACGCUUCAUGAAUAUGGAAUGAGAAUUAGUUGGUUGUGGAUAAGACUUGACUGCCCUCGAAAAAAUAAAACCCUCCACCAGGCU
rnacentral:lncRNA from 1 species